rnacentral:rRNA from 1 species
AGUGAACGCUGGCGGUAGGCCUAACACAUGCAAGUCGAACGGCAGCACAGUAAGAGCUUGCUCUUACGGGUGGCGAGUGGCGGACGGGUGAGGAAUACAUCGGAAUCUACUUUUUCGUGGGGGAUAACGUAGGGAAACUUACGCUAAUACCGCAUACGACCUACGGGUGAAAGCAGGGGAUCUUCGGACCUUGCGCGAUUGAAUGAGCCGAUGUCGGAUUAGCUAGUUGGCGGGGUAAAGGCCCACCAAGGCGACGAUCCGUAGCUGGUCUGAGAGGAUGAUCAGCCACACUGGAACUGAGACACGGUCCAGACUCCUACGGGAGGCAGCAGUGGGGAAUAUUGGACAAUGGGCGCAAGCCUGAUCCAGCAAUACCGCGUGGGUGAAGAAGGCCUUCGGAUUGUAAAGCCCUUUUGUUGGGAAAGAAAAGCAGCAGGUUAAUACCCCGCUGUUCUGACGGUACCCAAAGAAUAAGCACCGGCUAACUUCGUG